AUUGAACGCUGGCGGCAUGCCUUACACAUGCAAGUCGAACGGCAGCACGGGAUUCAGGCAACUGAGCCCUGGUGGCGAGCGGCGAACGGGUGAGUAACACGUGGGUGACCUGCCCUCAGCUCUGGGAUAAGCCUGGGAAACUGGGUCUAAUACUGGAUAUGACUCCACGGUGCAUGUCGUGGGGUGGAAAGCCUUGUGCGGCUGAGGANGGGCCCGCGGCCUAUCAGCUUGUUGGUGGGGUGAUGGCCUACCAAGGCGACGACGGGUAGCCGGCCUGAGAGGGCGACCGGCCACACUGGGACUGAGAC
rnacentral:rRNA from 1 species